rnacentral:rRNA from 1 species
GAUGAACGCUGGCGGCGUGCCUAAUACAUGCAAGUCGAGCGAACAGACGAGGAGCUUGCUCCUCUGACGUUAGCGGCGGACGGGUGAGUAACACGUGGAUAACCUACCUAUAAGACUGGGAUAACUUCGGGAAACCGGAGCUAAUACCGGAUAAUAUCUUUAACCGCAUGGUUCAAUAGUGAAAGACGGUUUUGCUGUACCUUAUAGAUGGAUCCCCGCGGCAUUACCUAGUUGGUAAGGUAACGGCUUACCAAGGCAACGAUGCGUAGCCGACCUGGGAGGGUGAUCGGCCACACUGGAACUGAGACACGGUCCAGACUCCUACGGGAGGCAGCAGUAGGGAAUCUUCCGCAAUGGGCGAAAGCCUGACGGAGCAACGCCGCGUGAGUGAUGAAGUUCUUCGGAUCGUAAAACUCUGUUAUUAGGGAAGAACAAAUGUGUAAGUAACUAUGCACGUCUUGACGGUACCUAAUCAGAAAGCCACGGCUAACUACGUG